UGGCGUAAUGAUGGCCAGGCUGUCUCCACCCGAGACUCAGUGAAAUUGAACUCGCUGUGAAGAUGCAGUGUACCCGCGGCAAGACGGAAAGACCCCGUGAACCUUUACUAUAGCUUGACACUGAACAUUGAGCCUUGAUGUGUAGGAUAGGUGGGAGGCUUUGAAGUGUGGACGCCAGUCUGCAUGGAGCCGACCUUGAAAUACCACCCUUUAAUGUUUGAUGUUCUAACGUGGACCCGUAAUCCGGGUUGCGGACAGUGUCUGGUGGGUAGUUUGACUGGGGCGGUCUCCUCCUAAAGAGUAACGGAGGAGCACGAAGGUUGGCUAAUCCUGGUCGGACAUCAGGAGGUUAGUGCAAUGGCAUAAGCCAGCUUGACUGCGAGCGUGACGGCGCGAGCAGGUGCGAAAGCAGGUCAUAGUGAUCCGGUGGUUCUGAAUGGAAGGGCCAUCGCUCAACGGAUAAAAGGUACUCCGGGGAUAACAGGCUGAUACCGCCCAAGAGUUCAUAUCGACGGCGGUGUUUGGCACCUCGAUGUCGGCUCA
rnacentral:rRNA from 1 species